rnacentral:lncRNA from 1 species
CUCACCUCCAAUUUCCCCUCCAACCCACUGCUUCCUGACUCGCUCUUCUCCAUCGAACGGCUCUUGCUCAGGUUCCACGAGCUGCCCAUCUCCAGAGAAGAGCAGGUGAGGCCGCUGCCUGUCUUCAUGCGUCUGGCAUUGCCCACCGGCCGUGCUGGCUGAAGAAGAGAGGACAUGAGGACCCCAGGAUGCCCAGCGUGAGGACCCCAGGACACCCAGCGCGAGGACCCCAGGACGCCCAGCUCGAGGACCCCAGGACGCCCAGCGCGAGGACCCCAGGACGCCCAGCGCGAGGACCCCAGGACGCCCAGCGCGAGGACCCCAGGACGCCCAGCGCGAGGACUCCACAUCCUUACGUUGCAACCCUCCUGGAAUAGGCCAACAUCGUCAUCACCUGGAAUCCUGCGUGGGACCCUGGACACAUGGACACAGAGCCUGCCCAUAGGACCUUCCAACUGUAAAUCGAUUGGAAGCGCCCUUCUGAGCCGAGGCCUUCAAAGGGCUGAGGAGAAAAUGCAGUCCGAGAGACCAGCUCCUCAAAUAGGCUUCAAGCCUCCAUGACCUGAGCCCACCCCCUGGAAAUGUCUGGAAAGCAUAAUGGGCAGGUUUUCUGUCUUCAAAGUUUCCAUCGAAACCUCUUCAAGUUCCUUAUUGUUUAGGACUGAGACACUUGGGGACGGUAAUGGGGACUUUCUUUUGUAUCUGUCUUGAAAGGCCAAAAUAUUUUUAUAUUGCUGUAGACAAAGCCACCUAUUUACAAAUGAACUCUGUUCCGUCGUUUCCCACCAGGAAGGCUGUACUGUGUUUGUAUCUCUAUGUAUGCUGGGGUCUUGAAACAGGUUUCUCAUGGGGAUGGCCAUUCACUGGGGCCCAGAGGGGCAGAAAGGGAAGUGUCUACCCAGCCAAGGGGGUCUGGGGAAGGAGGGGUCUAGUCUCAGAUUUGCUCCUUGUAUGUCUAGGGUAAACCCUGGGAGAAUCUGGUAGUAAAAGAACAUAUGCUGUGUUUGCACCACAUCUGCCAUUUGUGUGUGUUUCUGGGCUAUAGGUUUGUACACUUUAGAGCUUAACAUGGUGGGAGGAAGUAAGAAGGGCCAAGAGGGCACGGGCGCUCUGGUUUUCUUGUCGGGAAGCUGUUUCACUGGUGUGUGUUACAUCACAUAAUGCAUGUUUGGCUGGGCAAGUGA